rnacentral:lncRNA from 1 species
UUUGGAAGCCGUUCGGCCACGUUUUGUACACCCGCUGCAGUGCACUUUUUGGUACUAACCCAGACCAUGGAAGCAAGGCUAAGAAAAAAGCAAGGAAAGAUAAUCCAAAAGUAUUCAGUUUUACAAAAAAAAUCAUGGAUUCUGAAUGGAAUGUUUCGAUUUUUGAAGACUUGAAAAAGUACAAGGUGGAUCAAACUGUUACAAAG